CCCAGGAAUUGCUGCCAAAGUCGGCCUUUGGUGCAGCUGUAAGUCGGAUGGAAUCCACCUUCCUGACGUCAGACCCACCCACUGGAACACUGCUCCUCUGACUGGGGCUUCCCUGAAUGGAAACUACAUGUCAUACUGCAAAAGACAGGGUCUCACUAUGUUGCCCAGGCUGGUCUCAAAUUCCUUCUCAAGUGAUCCUCCCACCUCAACCUCCCAAAGUGCUGGGAUUGCAGGCAUGAGCCACUGCACCCAGCAGAAAUUCUUAACGAGGCAAGGCCAACAGAGGCCAUUCAUUCAACAUCACGGCACCAUAGUGGCCUCUUUUUAAGACUCCUCAGGUUCCAGAUAGAUUUCAUCACUCAAGAUAAGCAAAUGAACCACAGAAUUUUGAAGUUAGAGAACAACUUCUGAAAGAGAAAAAAGUCUUUGUCUCAGUUUCUGCUCUCCAGAGGUAACCCAAAGAGGUAAGGAACCCAGUGAGAAAGACAGAGAGAAGUAUGGACAAGAAACAGAUCCUAAACCUGUUUUGUUUUAUUUUUGGUAGUAGUUGUUUAUUUUUGAAAACAUUCAAACCACCUGUAUUGGUGGCUGUUAUUAUGAAAUAAAUAAACUGAGAAACAACAAGACAAUUUGGCCUCUACAAUUUGUUUAGUUUUGACUAAGUAUUUGCCUUGGAAGAAGUAUGUGUACAAUACUCAUUUUUAAAAGAUGCAACAGUCACCUCGUUACUUGGAGUUUUACUUGAGACUU
ensembl:lncRNA LINC01828 long intergenic non-protein coding RNA 1828